GACGAACGCUGGCGGCGCGCCUAACACAUGCAAGUCGAGCGAGAACCAGGGCUUCGGCUCUGGGGACAGCGGCGAACGGGUGAGUAACACGUGGAUAACCUGCCCUCGGCACCGGAAUAGCCCGGGGAAACCCGGAUUAAUGCCGGAUAGCCCCACAUCCCUGCGGGGAACGUGGGAAAAGGUAGCUUCGGCCUCUGGCCGAGGAGGGGUCCGCGGUGGAUUAGCUUGUUGGCGGGGUAACGGCCCACCAAGGCGACGAUCCAUAGCUGGUCUGAGAGGACGAUCAGCCACACUGGGACUGAGACACGGCCCAGACUCCUACGGGAGGCAGCAGUGGGGAAUCUUGCGCAAUGGGCGAAAGCCUGACGCAGCGACGCCGCGUGCGGGAAGAAGGCCUUAGGGUUGUAAACCGCCUUCAGGAGGGACGAAGCCACUCGGGUUAAUAGCCCAGAGGGUGACGGUACCUCCAGAAGAAGCCCCGGCUAACUACAUGCCAGCCGCCGCCGUAA
rnacentral:rRNA from 1 species